AAGAGAAAGAAGACUGAAUUCAGUCUCUCUUGCAGAAAAAUUGUUUUCCGUCAAGUUGAUAAUAAUGAUCACACUGAGAAUGAAUGACUCAAGAUGAAUAUCCAAAGAUAUAUCAAAACCUGGUCAGCAGUCGUGGGGAAAGGAAGAAAGCCUGAGUUGAGUUUAUGAAAGUUUUCCACUAAAGUCAGCAACAGCUUAAAUUCAAACCAGGCACAAGACGCUUGAAUCUCCAUAUGAGUUGUUCAUCAAAGGGCUGAAAGAAAAGAAAUCUGAGCCCGAGCACGGUCUGGCCUAAAAGCUUUCAAGUGACUCCUUUCUGGUUUCCUGGGAAUUGGAUGCUGAGAUGAAAAGCAUAUGAGUAGCUUUCUUCCAGCAUUCUUCUUGGUGAUUAACCAACUAUCCAAGUACAAAGUUGCUCCUAAUUAACCCUGAGGACCCCAAUAUAAAGUUGCAAAUGAAAGAAGUCCUGCUACUCUAAAGAAUAACUAAACCAGACUGGAGUCACUGAAACUGAUGGAAGAACAUCUCAGGCAUGAGUGCCAUGGUGACGUCAUCAGCUCCGUUCACAACCACUCACCAUGAGGCCAUUGCUCCUGUGGAGGACACUGGCUUAGGACUCAUGAAGUAGUACCUCAGGAAGGUGUCUCUGUAAGUGUUCCUUCCACCAGCUCCAAGACACAAUGAGAUGGAGAGAACUGGAACAAUUCCCUAUGAUUGCAGCUGGAUAUUUUCACAUGAACUAUCUAGUAAUGAAGGCAAUGGCAUGUGGUGUGGCAAAGACUGGCCCCAGAUUACAUUUCCAGUCCUUUUGUACUGAGGAGGGGCUUUGGGACCAAGACAGUAGGAGUGAGGGUACAGGUUCCACAUUCUAUUUCUCUCUUAGUUUUCUGUGGUUAUCUUGGUGACUGCAUGGUAAAGAUGGAGGUGACAAAAGAUGGAAGGAGCCUGGAUCCCUGAAUGACUUCAUGGUGCAGAGCCUUACACUACCCCCAACUCAUACUAAAACAGGGGUGGGAGGAACAAUAGACCAUUAUUCUGUUAAGGUGCUGAAAUUGUAGAGCUGUUAAUUUGAACAGUUAGAGUUUCUUAUACUGAUACAGUAUCCUUACCCUGGAUUGUUGAAAUAAUUAGUCCAAAUAGUUUCUUUGCCUAAAACUGUGGACAGAGCCUAAGCAAUAUUGAAUCCAAGACAAGGUAUAUUUAUCAUCAAAUGCUACUCACUAUACAAUACAGAUGAAUGUGGCACUUA
rnacentral:lncRNA from 1 species